UAUCUUUCAUAACAAGUUAACUACAUAACCUAACGAUGACUCUUGGAGCCAAAGAAAGAACAUGACAGUACUCACAAAAAAAACAAAACAACAUUAUCUAAAAAGAAAUAAAAAACAACAACAUAUUUCAAAAGAAAGCUUCCGAGAAAGUUGCAUUGAAAUGUAUUUGUUCUAUUUUGGAAAACAUUGUCGCUUUAUUCGCUCAUGACAACGUGGAUAAACCCAAAAUCACUCAUCAUUUUCUCUCUCUUUCUCU
rnacentral:lncRNA from 1 species